GUGUGUUUGGGUCACUAAGCACCCCUCUUUAACCUUAUCUGGCCCGGACCAUGCCGGCUCUGAUUUCACGGUCCAACCCCGCCUUGUGCUUUUUAUAGCCUUCAUCCAAUCACAUCGGAUGCCUCUUGUCUGCCGAGCUGCUUGUCGAAGUAACCCCUGUGGAUCUUAAUCACAAUAUUUCUGCUCGUAUUUUGAUUUGCGGUUAUAUUUCUUUUUUUUUUUAACUUUUUCAUGGUUUUAUUGCUUUUUUCGUGGAGGAAUUUUUGGCCACGACUGUGGCUGGGAUAGAUUUAGUUGGAUUUCUUUGUUUCUCACCAUCUUCUUGGAUGUGAAACCUGAUCUACAGAUGCAUUGACCAUAUCUGAGCACCUUCACUAGCAGAACUCCCCGCCUGUGAACUAGACCGAGCCUUAAUCACAUUUUCUGGGCUCUGACCUGACCCACCGUAUCCUUGGCCGAUGUGGUAGAGCGAUCUCUACUAAACUGGACUGGACUGGACCUGGCAGUGUGCGGGGUACCCGCUUAGGGGAGAGAGGUUCUGCUCUGGUUUUGUCAUUUUGAUUGGACUGAGUCAAGAGGGUGCUCUAAUCUCAGAGCUGGUUCUGGGACAAAAGUGGAGGUGGGGGACUGCGAGCCACUUCCCCUGCUGUGGAAACUGGGUUACCAUGCUGCCCGCACAAAGGAAGGAUCAGUUUGAUAACUUGGAGAAGCACACACAGUGGGGUAUCGACUUUGUGGAGAGGUACACCAAAUUUGUCAAAGAGAGGUCGGAGAUAGAGCUCAACUAUGCAAAGCAGAUUAGGAAUCUUUCAAAGAAAUACCAGCCGAAGAAGAACUCCAGAGAGGAGGAGGAGAACAAGUACAGCUCGUGCCGGGCCUUCCUGUCCACGCUGAACGAGCUCAAUGACUAUGCGGGCCAGCACGAGCUGGUGUCGGAGAAUCUGACGGCGCAGAUCAUUGCCGAGCUCGGGAAGUACACGCAGGAGCUCAAGUCGGAGAGGAAGACGCAUUUCCAUGAUGGACGGAAGGCUCAGCAACAUAUUGAAAACUCCUGGAAGCAGCUGGAAUCAAGCAAGAGGCGCUUUGAGAGAGACUGCAAGGAGGCGGACAGAGCCCAGCAGUACUUUGACAAGAUGGACGCCGACAUCAACGUAACGAAAGCAGACGUGGAGAAGCGAUGUUACAAUAAGGCGAGGCAGCAAGCUCAAAUGAGACACCAGAUGGCUUCAGACAGUAAGAAUGAAUAUGCAGCUUACCUGCAGAAAUUCAACCAGGAGCAAAAUGACCAUUACUACUCCAUCAUCCCCACCAUAUUUCAGAAAAUCCAGGACAUGGAGGAGAGGAGGAUUGAGCGGUUGGGAGAGUCCAUGCGCACCUUCGCUGAGGUGGACCGCACCAUCCUGCCCAUCGUGGGCAAGUGCCUAGACGGCAUGACUAAAGCUGCAGAAUCAAUUGAGGCCAAGAAUGACUCCAAGCAGGUGGUGGACUCAUUCAAGUCGGGCUUUGAGCCCCCGGGCGAUGUGGAGUUUGAAGACUACGGCCAGGCGAUGAAGAGGGCCGUCUCGGAGACCAGCCUGUCCAACUCGCGCGGCGAGAGCAAGCCCGAAAAGUCGGCCAAGCGACCGGGCAAACUGUGGCCUUUCAUCAAGAAGAACAAGCUUAUGUCCCUGUUAACGUCCCCGCACCCCCCCCAGCCGCCCCCGGCACCCCCUUCCUCCUCCCCCUCCUCCUCCUCCUCCUCCUCCACCUGCCCCCGCCCCUCCUCACCUUCUGCUGUUCCCAACGACCCCCAGUCACCCAAGCAGCCGCGCGAGCCCCUGGGCCACCGCCUCAACGACCUCAUGACCUCCAAAUCCAAAAUGCACUGCCUCCGGAGCCUCAAGCGAGGGUCUCCUCGCUCUCUUUAUUACAACAAAGAGCUGAUGAAGCGGACUCUGGGCAGGCCUACAUACGCUUUCGAGGCCAGACAAUAUGUCCUUUCUCUCAAGCUGCUCACACUCAAUUCCCACAUGCGGAGUCUGAUUGAGGGCUCUGGACCAGAGGACUUCAGCCACCUUCCACCAGAGCAGAGGAGGAAGAAGCUCCAGGCUAAGAUAGACGACAUCAACAAAGACAUUCAGAAGGAAAUGGAUCAGAGAGAUGCUUUGACAAAGAUGAAGGACGUGUACAUUAAGAACCCUCAGAUGGGCGACCCCACAAGUCUAGACCCCCGACUGGGUGAGAUCGCUCAAAACAUCGACAAGCUACAGGCAGAGGCUCAGAAGUUUGAGGGAUGGCUUGCCGAGGUUGAGGGCAGAUUGCCAGUGAAAAGUGACCCACCCAAGAGGCAAAGCGUAGUAUUCGAGACUCAGAACAACGCACCCGUUACAGUUACCAACAACUGUGCACAGGACAGAGAAAGCAGCCCAGAUGGCAGUUACACAGAGGAGCCCAGCUCCGAGCCGCCGGUGAAAGCAGCCGACCCAGAGUUUGAUGAUGAGUUUGAGGAAGAAGAGACCUUGCCCACCAUAGGCACCUGCAAGGCCCUGUACCCCUUUGACGGCACGAAUGAGGGCACCAUCUCAGUAGCAGAGGGCGAGUUGUUGUAUGUGAUCGAGGAAGAUAAAGGCGAUGGCUGGACGCGUGUGCGCAGGAACGAGGAGGAGGAGGGAUAUGUGCCCACCUCUUAUGUGGAAGUCUUUCUGGACAAUAACACCAAAGGUUUCAAGACUUAUAUUUAAUCUGUUUAUUCAGUUUACUGUUGAGGGGGUAAACUAAACAUCUCUUUUGCCCUAAGUGUAUUUAAUGUGUGUGUGAGAGAGAGAGAGUAUGUGUGUUUGGGACAUGUUUGUAAGUCAACAAAAAGCUACUAAGUUCACAGCAACAUAUUAUAUGAGCUGUGCACAGUCCCUCUCUGCAGUUCUUCCAAGGUGCCAGUAGAGGGUGCCCCAGACCAAAACCUAAAGAGCUCUGAACUUUGGGGCAUGCUCCUGCGUCUCAGGAACCAAACACUGGACACAGCCCCACAUUUCUGAAAUGUCACUGGUCACCAGUAGCCGCAGCUGGAGAGCUUGUUUUAGACAGGCAGGUAACUGUGAGUUUGCCAGACUGGUCUGUCUGUUUUGACUGGAAUGUGUUUCGGUAUGCAUCUAAAAGGAUACAUGGUUACGAUAGAAGUGUGAGAUAUAUCAGCGAACAGAUUCUUGUCCACUCUCAUGUGAGAUUGACCAGUGGCUUGCCUGAAAACUCAUGAGGUUGCAUGUCGGCAUGAGUUCAGUGUGUGCAUAUCAAGUCAAUCUUCCUUUCUUGCUAAAAGACUGUAAAGUCUAGAAUAGUCAUGAUGCUCAAUAUGGAAUGUUACAGCAAGAACUGAACUGUGUCAUCCCCAUGACGAUGAGCUUGUUUUUAAAUAUUUAGCUAAACGUGUAAAGGGUCUGAAUUUUCAUGUUUAUAAACUAAGAUGUGAAGAGCUAAACAGAAGUGCUGGUCUCAGGCAUAAUGGGAAUAUUUGGGAAUAUCCCCCUGAUGUGUUUCAGAGCCAUGGAGGGACUGGUGACCGGGGCUUAGCCGAUUCCUAAAAGAGUGUGAUGGCUCGGUGGAAGAUGGAGGAAAAGCUGCCUGAGAUAAACACUGCACUCAGAAAAGUGUACAGGAGAGAUGGAGUGAGAGAAUGACGGAGGGGAAGAGAUGAAGAGAGCUGAUAAAAGAGGAAUAGCUGAUUUUUUUUAAGCUUUGAUACUCCGAUCUAUUUUCUUUUUCUGAAUCUCUCGUGUGUCAGUGUGUAGCUGGCACCGUAAAAAGAAAAAAACAACCUGGGUCAAAAUCAGAAUCAAAAAUCAAAAACAAAGUCAGCUCUCAUACAUGUUUUAUAAAAUGUUUCAUUGUUUUUUUGUCUUCAGUUCAGCUCUGGUGUCUGUUACACGUGUUCUGUCGUCACGCUGUGUGUUGUCCAGUUGCGCUGGUGUUUGCACAGUUCGUCACACACAUUGUACUGUUCUGCUGCUCCUGCUCUUUGAUACCUUGGUUUUUGUGACCCUUGGAAAAACAGGGCCGUGGAGGCUGUCCAGGUAGGAUCAGUCAUCGCCACAGGGGGGCGCCAUUGCAUAUGCAUGCAGACGACUCACUUCUCUGCUCUCCUGUCUCUUCCUCUCAUUUUUUACUCACUCUGUUCAGUUUGGUCUUGCAAGAGUAUGCCACGGCGAGAGACGUCAUGAGGGUAAAUUAUUAAAUCCCACCCUAGAACUUUCUGGAACUGGAAACAAACUUCAUGUUUAGCUGGAGGCCAUAAGUCGGCACACACAGAAAGAGUCCAUAACAGCUUUGGAAUGACGGGUGUCGUUUCUAAAACCGAACAACAAUGUGUAGUGUGCCAGUGGGAUCCACAGUUGGGCCCUCUGGUUGUGCCAUCUCCUUCAUGCCAGGGUCGGGAUUAUUUCUUCCCAUGUUCUCCAGUUCUCCUUCUGUUAUCAGUUUAGCUUCACACUCAUAAAUACAUCCCUCUAUCCAGCUGGCUCAGUUUUCUUUCAGGUUAGGUUCACUUUUAACCUUAGUUUGUUUUGCUCUCCCUUCAGUUUUAUUUGCUUAUAGGCAUCACCACUUAAUCACAAGAACCUUGGCCACAAUCAUCAGGGUUUGCAUCUCUGUUUCUUGUUUCCUUUGUCUAUAAUGUAUACAUUGUAUGCAUUAACUACAGAUGUACUGUGAGUGAAUAUGAACAGGUAAUUUGUGAUACGCGUGUGUUGGCGUAUGACCUGCUUCUGUUUUGGGUUUAUCGGGGGGCCAAUUUACAGAUUGACCUUCACAACCUGGCUACUGUUCAGCAGUGUCUAUCUAGCAGUUGAGUCCAUGCACACAUUUUCUACACAGUGAACCUGUGACCAUGAUCACCACAUCAAGCCUUAAAGGGGCAUGAAUGAGAGAUAGAACCAGACUCCCAUUUUAUGAAUGCCAUGCAAUGUUAUGAUCUGUGGUAUAAUUUUUUUAACAGUGCGUUUGUUCCAUUAGUGGUGAGUUGCUCUCUGUCCUCUUACAUCUCUUGAAGGGAUGUGAACAUUUUAGAUUCACAUCGGUUCUUUGAUGGAUGAUGGACUGUCUUAUGUUACUUUGGGGCAAAAGAGAGAUGUCUUUAGAUCUAAAUGCUUUUGUUUUGUAGCUGUUUUCAUUCUUUUUUAUUGCUGGAAAUGUUAAAUUGCACCUGAAUCACGUAUGCCCACAACCAAACCACACAAGUGAAAAUAAGGAGUGCCACAUCUGAGCUAUAGAGCCUUCAGAGACCUGAUGUGGUUUGGUGAGGAUACCAUGUUUUUAUUUUGCUUAAAGGCAGAAUUGUGUCUGGGAGAUGUUUGAUGAAAACAUGUUUGUAAAAUGUAUUUACUUGAGGAACAUUUCAAAAACCGAUGACUGAAGUGCUAUCGAUCAUACCACUGUAAAUAUAAAUUCCAGAAAUGACAAAUAUCUGAAUUAACACGUAUAGAGUCCAGCCAAGAUAAACAUGUGAACAGUGCAUCAAACUCAUUACUUCCGUGUUUCCGUCCAAAUCAAUGGCGACGCGUGUAGAUACCGUCAUGGCAAAUGCUGUUGUUUUUCGCUGUUCUGUUAUGUUGUUAGUGGAAGGGCUAAGGAGAGAGACUGCCAUCAUCAACACUAGCAGACUUCUAGGCAGUGUGAUGUCUUGAUCCACAGACACAGCCACACAACUGCGGGAUAUCAACAGGAAGUAAGACCUGCGUGAUGCCCAACACACUGAGAGGAAACCACUGAGGACGCUCCUCCAGUCUCUCUCAUGCUCAUGUCAUACACCUGUGGCCCCUCACUGUACAGAUCGCUUGGCCACUCGGAAGCAGAGAGUAUAUAUAAAUAUAUAGAUAAGAGAAUAAACUAAGAAAAAAAGGAGAGAAAGUCUAUUUUUAAGGUUUUAACUAUUUGAAGGUGUCGUUUCUCCCCCCCACCCCCCUCAGCUUUGCUAAAUUCAACCUUUUUUCUUCUUAUUUCAUGGUUCAGUUUGGUUUGGUUUAAUGUCCAAACAAUGUGUUUUGCACUUUUUUUUUCCGUUUGUUCCAUUUGGUAUGCUUGUUUCUCAGCACUGAAUACGUUGUAUUGUGUUAACUGUGCCAAUUAAACAUUCAGAAAACAAA